rnacentral:rRNA from 1 species
AGCGAACGCUGGCGGCAGGCUUAACACAUGCAAGUCGAACGGGCACUUCGGUGCUAGUGGCAGACGGGUGAGUAACGCGUGGGAACGUGCCUUUCGGUUCGGAAUAAUCCAGGGAAACUUGGACUAAUACCGGAUACGCCCUUCGGGGAAAGAUUUAUCGCCGAAAGAUCGGCCCGCGUCUGAUUAGCUAGUUGGUGAGGUAAAGGCUCACCAAGGCGACGAUCAGUAGCUGGUCUGAGAGGAUGAUCAGCCACACUGGGACUGAGACACGGCCCAGACUCCUACGGGAGGCAGCAGUGGGGAAUAUUGGACAAUGGGCGAAAGCCUGAUCCAGCCAUGCCGCGUGAGUGAUGAAGGCCUUAGGGUUGUAAAAGCUCUUUUGUCCGGGAAGAUAAUGACUGUACCGGAAGAAUAAGCCCCGGCUAACUCGUGCCAGCAGCCGCGGUAAU